rnacentral:lncRNA from 1 species
CAUGUAUUAUAACUGUCUAGUUAAGUUUUGUGUCUGAAAUAGGUUUUCAAAAGCAUAAUUUACUCUCUUAACUAUAUAUUCCUUUCUCUUUUCAGUGUGUCCCUUCUGGGAAAGCCAUCUGACAAUUCCAUCAUGAAAGCUCCUACUGGGAAAAAUCUGAGAUUCCUACCUAAAAAGGUAAAGAAACAGGAAGAGCUCUUAAAAGGAGGCUUUUCACUUCACAAGAUGUUAAUUGAUGGACUGGAGUCAUGUGGAUUACAUGUGGAUUAUUGUGAUGUUUUAAUCAGCUGUUGGACUCUCAUUCUGACGGCACCCAUUCACUUCAGAGGAUCAACUGGAAUUCUACGGUGUGGUCUCCUGACUGGCCUGUUCUUAAUGCUUGGUUAGCAAUGGUGUCCCGUUUCCUGUGGCAUGACCUCGACCUUCUCCACACAUUCUAUAUCUCUGAUAUUCCCAUGGCAUCCUGGGUGCUAGGACUCCUCAGGCUGAUCCCACUGCAUGGUCUUUAUCAAUGAGGGCAUCGAACUGCAUGAGAUCAGUUAAUGCAACCACAACAAUAGAAUAUAAUGGUUACACUUGAUUCAAAAGUUUGUGAUUGGUAAGAUGUUUGUUUGAUUGUUUUUUUUUUAACUCACUUUCUUUAUGCUCACAAAAGCAGUAUAUAUUUAAAUAUAAUAAUAAAAAAAUACAGCAAAACAGUAAUAUUGUGAAAUAUAAAUUAAUUAAAAAUAACUCUUUUCUAUUUGAAUAUAAAUUAAAAAGUAGUUUAUUCCUGUGAUCCAAAGCUGAAUUUUCAGCAGUCCAUACAUAAAUUUAAUUUAAUACGUCAUUGCUAAAUAAAAUUCAUUUUUCAUUUUUCUCUAAUUAUUUGAAAGUAAAAAUAAAUAAUGAUAUAAUAGCGUGAAAUAGUUUGGUCAUGUUUAUUCAUUUAAAAUAUAUCAAUUAGACCAAGUUUUAUAUUAAAUUAAACAAAUUUACUAUUGCAAUCAUUUAAUUAGCAUUUUUUAAUUUAUAAUUAAGUUAGAAAUUCAGUUUUUACUAAAAAAUUAACAUCUUACUAUUGUUCUUAUGUAUCAUGCAUGUUUUAACUUAAUAUAUAUACACAUUUAUACAGUAUAAUUGUUUUUAACAUUAAUGUUGUUAAUUGAACAUUUACUAAAAUACUAUACAUGUAAUUAAAUCUAAGCAAUUUAAUAAUUAAAAAUAAGUUAUUAUUUAAAGUUUUUAUAAAUUGUUAACACUGUUUGAUUUUUACUGUGUGUCAUAUAUGCUACAUGUCUGUGGUCUGUGAUUGUACAGAUUUGGUUAACAGCGUUGACCUCUAGGUGGCAGUACUGCAAUGAGAACUACUUUAACAACCUCUAAAAAAAGACACUCUCCUGUCUGCAGAUGUUAGUUUCCUCUGAUCA